AUUGAACGCUGGCGGAAUGCUUUACACAUGCAAGUCGAACGGCAGCACGGGGGCAGCCCUGGUGGCGAGUGGCGAACGGGUGAGUAAUACAUCGGAACGUGCCCGGUCGUGGGGGAUAACGUAGCGAAAGUUACGCUAAUACCGCAUACGAUCUGAGGAUGAAAGCGGGGGACCUUCGGGCCUCGCGCGAUCGCAGCGGCCGAUGUCAGAUUAGGUAGUUGGUGGGGUAAAGGCCUACCAAGCCGACGAUCUGUAGCUGGUCUGAGAGGACGACCAGCCACACUGGGACUGAGACACGGCCCAGACUCCUACGGGAGGCAGCAGUGGGGAAUUUUGGACAAUGGGCGCAAGCCUGAUCCAGCCAUUCCGCGUGCAGGACGAAGGCCUUCGGGUUGUAAACUGCUUUUGUACGGAACGAAAAGGCUCUGGCUAAUACCUGGGGCUCAUGACGGUACCGUAAGAAUAAGCACCGGCUAACUACGUG
rnacentral:rRNA from 1 species